GCCCAACUCACCUCUCCCCACCGCUCGUAUAAAGCCUCACACGGUCCCACCCUCACAGUCACACGAAACCCUCGACGGCUCGACCCCUCCUCCCUCUCGUCCUAACCCUAGUCCCCAGUGGCGGCGGCGGCGGCGGCGGCUGUGACGCAGGAGGCGGGAUGGCGCGUCGGCGCGUGAUGGCGUGAGGCACGUGGGCAGGUCAUGAUGCUGUAGCGAUGCGCCGAACUGCCGAAGGAGCCGCAGUUGCUGGAUCGAGUGGAGACGGAGACGCGCGAGCCACCGGCCGGAGUCAACGCACUGAGCACGGUCGACGGCAGCAACAGCAAGUGAUCAACGUGAGUGUGAUGGCAGAACAAAGUUCUCGUAUUUCGCAUUCAGACACCUCCCCUUACAACGCUUC
rnacentral:rRNA from 1 species